GGACUACAGGGGUAUCUAAUCCUGUUUGAUCCCCACGCUUUCGUGCCUCAGUGUCAAUAAUAGCGUAGCGAGCUGCCUUCGCAAUCGAUGUUCUAUGUCAUAUCUAAGCAUUUCACCGCUACAUGACAUAUUCCGCUCACCUCCACUAUAUUCAAGACAGAUAGUAUCAACGGCAGUUUCCGGGUUAAGCCCGGAGAUUUCACCACUGACUUACCUGCCCACCUACGCACCCUUUAAACCCAGUGAAUCCGGAUAACGCUUGCACCCUCCGUAUUACCGCGGCUGCUGGCAC
rnacentral:rRNA from 2 species